GAUGAACGCUGGCGGCGUGCUUAACACAUGCAAGUCGAACGGAGCGUCUUUGAUAGAGGAUUCGUCCAAUUGAUAAGAUUGCUUAGUGGCGGACGGGUGAGUAACGCGUGAGGAACCUGCCUUGGAUGGGGAAUAACAGUUAGAAAUGACUGCUAAUACCGCAUAAUGCAUUUGAGUCGCAUGGCUCUGAAUGCCAAAGNUUUAUCGCUCUAAGAUGGCCUCGCGUCUGAUUAGCUAGUUGGUAGGGUAACGGCCUACCAAGGCGACGAUCAGUAGCCGGACUGAGAGGUUGGCCGGCCACAUUGGGACUGAGACACGGCCCAGACUCCUACGGGAGGCCAGGCAGUGGGGAAUACUUGGGCAAUGGGCGCAAGCCUGACCCAGCAACGCCGCGUGAAGGAGAAGGCUUUC
rnacentral:rRNA from 1 species